GUCAGACGUCCAGCCAGCGUGCUGCACUCAUCGACAGAAAACUUUGAAUAUUUCUCCUUCCCGAUUGGAACCAAAAACUAAUUCAAAAGAACCACGAGAUCUCGUUUCAUCGCAAUACUUUGAACUACUUCAUUUGAAGGAUCAAAGUAUUUCAUUGAAGUUGCAGUUUACGACUUUCCGUAAAAUAUACGACAUCGCCUUCACUCCUAAAUAAUUAUGAUCAUUAAUCAAUCCAAGGAAUAUGCUGUGAUGAAAGAAAAAGCAGAUUUUAAGAAACUGAUUUAUGUGGCUGCCCAGAGGAGAAAUCAGAAUUUGUCGGCAGCAGCCCACGACUCCGUUUGAUCCCCUCCUUGGUGGUCAUCUCAUCACUCGGUUGAAGAAAGAAGUUUCAGGAAUUCAUCAUGGCGCCGUCAAUUCCCAGCAUGCUCUAGUCCGUUUUUUCUCCGGCUUGUUGCAGUUUUCUUGCUGUUUGUUCCGAUAAGUGUUGUGCAGAUUCCCGGUGCGGUGUACCACAAGUUCAAAGGCGUGGAUGUUCAAAUGCCGUGUCUGUCCGUCCGGACCGGGGUCCGGGGUCUGUCUUCAUGUGUGGCCCUGUGUCAGAGAACCGCCACCUGCAGGGCCGGGUCCUAUAACUCAGCCAUGAGAAGAUGUUGUGUCAGCUCCCUCUUCGCCUAUGAGAGCGGAGUGGUCUAUGAAGAGAAUCCAAACAGCGAAUACUUCCAGGUCCCGACCGACACAGUAGAGUACAGUAACUGGACAAUGGUCUUCAGGAUUCUUAGCGGAAGUAGUCAGAAGGUUUACGCCACCUGGAACAGGACCGGACAGUAUGAUGACUACCUGCUGGGCAGAACUGGGAUGCAGUUAGGAUGUGUCACUUUGAACGGAUCGAGGGCGUGCAAGACUCUGUUUAGAAGUCGUUUGCUGGACACGUGGUCUACAGCUGCUGUAAAGAAGGUGCGUGUAGUGCUUGCCAGCAACGGCCAGGAAGUUGUGAACCUUGUUUUCAAUGGCACAGGCUCCACCUACAUGAACUGGUUCCAUCCUUCACGCAUCCUCCAGUCACCGUGGACUGAUCUUUCUACAAACUCCUCCAAGUACAACAGUUUCUCAAUACUCGGGAUUGAUGUCCAUUCUCGCCGCUUCUUCAUCAACAAGAGCUAUGGUGGGUGUGCUGGCGACGUGGGCUGGCUGGCUGUGGUCGACGACAUCUGAGCCGUGAACCGUGUCCAUGGGAAAACUACACCACACCUGCCAUUCUCUACAGCGGCAACACCACAGUAGUCACCUGGCAAAGCUCAGCUUACAGUGUCCUGAGAGCGGAUGUUUUUGCAGUGUUCAUUCAGCGCUGAUGCCUCAAAAAAAAAAACAAACAACUGUGCCAUUAAAUAUGUGAGUGGUUGAUUGAGUAUUUAAUUCAUAAACUUUCAGCUGGUUCUUAGUCGAGUGAUUAGCCUUGCAGUUGAUGCUCGGUUGUUUACAGUUAACAAAUUGCGGUUAGAUGCAAUAAAAACCGUAGCCAAGUGUGUGAAAACUUUUUCCUUUUUUUUUUCCUACUCAGUUACAGUCUGUAUGUACUGAAAGCCUCCCUCUUAAGAGCAUUCAAGAUUUCAUAAACAUCCUGUGAAACUCGUUAAUCUUAAUCACUGAGCCUAGAAACUGUGUUAAACGCUCCGUCCAUACCUUUAAUGUGAUUGAUAUUGCUGAGUGCCCUCGGUUCUCUAAGACCCCCCACAGUGUGAACAGAAAGGUUGUGAGGUUGUGCAGUGAACCAUAUUUAUACUCUGUGAGCUCUACAAUUACUUUGCUGAGAAAAAUAAAGUCAAAUCAUCUAAACUUUUAUCUUUCGUCUUCCCGGACUACCGUGUGGUAUGCGUGCCAGGUGGCGAUGUGGGGAAAGUUGUCACUGCAUCAGUUACAGUCUGCAAGGUGAAGAAACCAAAUAUACCACUGGGGGAUCCGAACACUGACAAAUCGACCUG